rnacentral:rRNA from 1 species
AACGAACGCUGGCGGCAUGCCUAAUACAUGCAAGUCGAACGAGAUCUUCGGGUCUAGUGGCGCACGGGUGCGUAACGCGUGGGAAUCUGCCCUUUGGUUCGGAAUAACAGUUGGAAACGACUGCUAAUACCGGAUGAUGACGAAAGUCCAAAGAUUUAUCGCCAGAGGAUGAGCCCGCAUAGGAUUAGCUAGUUGGUGUGGUAAAGGCGCACCAAGGCGACGAUCCUUAGCUGGUCUGAGAGGAUGAUCAGCCACACUGGGACUGAGACACGGCCCAGACUCCUACGGGAGGCAGCAGUGGGGAAUAUUGGACAAUGGGCGAAAGCCUGAUCCAGCAAUGCCGCGUGAGUGAUGAAGGCCUUAGGGUUGUAAAGCUCUUUUACCCGGGAUGAUAAUGACAGUACCGGGAGAAUAAGCUCCGGCUAACUCCGUGCCAGCAGCCGCCGUAA